rnacentral:rRNA from 1 species
UGGGGAAUAUUGCACAAUGGGCGCAAGCCUGAUGCAGCCAUGCCGCGUGUGUGAAGAAGGCCUUCGGGUUGUAAAGCACUUUCAGCGAGGAGGAAGGGUUCAGUGUUAAUAGCACUGUUCAUUGACGUUACUCGCAGAAGAAGCACCGGCUAACUCCGUGCCAGCAGCCGCGGUAAUACGGAGGGUGCAAGCGUUAAUCGGAAUUACUGGGCGUAAAGCGCACGCAGGCGGUUUGUUAAGUCAGAUGUGAAAUCCCCGCGCUUAACGUGGGAACUGCAUUUGAAACUGGCAAGCUAGAGUCUUGUAGAGGGGGGUAGAAUUC